AGAGACAGCAGCAGCCACGGGAACACAGAGGGUGCGAGCGUUAAUCGGAUUUACUGGGCGUAAAGCGUGCGUAGGCGGCUUUUUAAGUCGGAUGUGAAAUCCCUGAGCUUAACUUAGGAAUUGCAUUCGAUACUGGGAAGCUAGAGUAUGGGAGAGGAUGGUAGAAUUCCAGGUGUAGCGGUGAAAUGCGUAGAGAUCUGGAGGAAUACCGAUGGCGAAGGCAGCCAUCUGGCCUAAUACUGACGCUGAGGUACGAAAGCAUGGGGAGCAAACAGGAUUAGAUACCCGAGUAGUCCCUGUCUCUUAUAC
rnacentral:rRNA from 1 species